AACAGGACCGAUCCACCACCGACCGAGACACCUAAUUCAAAAAGACGUGAGUGAAAGCUGCUGUGCUUAGUGCUUAAUUUAUGUCUGGGUCUUUGUAAGCACAUACAAUGGUUCAGUAGGACUGGAGAUCGAUGUGCAGUACCAGACUUAUGUGAAAACAAGAUGUCUAUCACUGCAGAACUGCAUACUGAGUGACCGCACCUACACCUGAAUACACCAAGCAUGAAUGUGCCCCUCUGCACAAUCAAAAGUCCAUGAAGAAUUGGAAUGUCGACUGCGAGGCAUGCUUUUUCACCCGACGUAGAAAAGGUACAACUUUGUGGAUAGGACACAAGACUUAGAAACCAGUUCAACAGUAAUUUCAGGCAAUAAAAUCCAACCUCCUGGUGGAACCAUCCCCAUCCAAAAUAUUGAUAUGAUGUGAAUGUAAUAAGGCCAAAGACUAACCAAAGGUCAGUUUUAUCCAACGUCUACAGUAUUGUAAUCAAAGCUCAUUUCCUUCCUGUUAUUACAACCCGGUCCCUCCUGCCUUUGUUUAUUUCUGUUGAAUCUAAGAGGUAAUAGGAAUGUAACAGUACUGAUUAAAAC